rnacentral:rRNA from 1 species
UACACUCCUACGGGAGGCAGCAGUGGGGAAUUUUGGACAAUGGGCGAAAGCCUGAUCCAGCAAUGCCGCGUGAGUGAAGAAGGCCUUCGGGUUGUAAAGCUCUUUUGUCAGGGAAGAAACGGUGAAAGCUAAUAUCUUUUGCUAAUGACGGUACCUGAAGAAUAAGCACCGGCUAACUACGUGCCAGCAGCCGCGGUAAUACGUAGGGUGCAAGCGUUAAUCGGAAUUACUGGGCGUAAAGCGUGCGCAGGCGGUUUUGUAAGUCUGAUGUGAAAUCCCCGGGCUCAACCUGGGAAUUGCAUUGGGGACUGCAAGGCUAGAAUCUGGCAGAGGGGGGUAGAAUUCCACGUGUAGCAGUGAAAUGCGUAGAUAUGUGGAGGAACACCGAUGGCGAAGGCAGCCCCCUGGGUCAAGAUUGACGCUCAUGCACGAAAGCGUGGGGAGCAAACAGGAUUAGAAACCCUUGUAGUCCC